rnacentral:rRNA from 1 species
AUGGAAAUUCAACAUUAAUAUUAUAAUAUUUAUUUAUAAAUAUUAUAAAAAUAGUGUGCAAUUUUUCCAUAUAAGGACAUUGUAAUCUGUUAAUGUUAUAAAUAUUUAUCAUAAGAUUCAGUAUAUAAAAGUUUAUUCAAAUUAGUUAUUUUCCGAUUUCUAACAUAGAAUAAAUUUAAUUGAAUUUGAUAAAUCAUUGACAGAUUUAUUUAUAUAUAGUGCUUAAAUUCUUAAUUGAAUUUUACAAUAAUUUAUAAAUGUAUUUUCAUUUAUUUAUUUAUUGUAUGCACUUAUAUGAUUAACAAUGCUAUAGAUUCAGGAUACCUUCGGGACCCGUCUUGAAACACGGACCAAGGAGUCUAACAUAUGUGCAAGUCAUUGGGUAUUUUUAAUAAAACCCAAAGGCAUAAUUAACUUAACUGUUUUUUUAAUAUGGGAUUAGUUUAUAUUUUAUUAUGAAAUAUUAAUUCAAUCCCGGGGCGUUCUAUAUAGUUAUGUAUAAUAAUAUUUAUAUUAUUUAUGCCUCUAACUAGAGCGUACCUUGAGCAUAUAUGCUGU